rnacentral:lncRNA from 1 species
CUUCAAAACCUGGUGGAGAAGAGGCAGAGCCGCCUCGAUGUGGAACCACUCCCCACCAUACAGGCUGCUAGAGCUGCCCAGGGGUCCACGUGUUUCCCUGUGUCUGGUCUGUAAGAUCAUUCAAGUCACUGGGUUUGCUAAGAUUUACCAACAGAAUCAAAGGGGUGUUUUCACCUUCCUAAGGUAAAGGAGACUCUGGGGUCCAGUCGCAGAAAGGCUGUAGUCCAUGUAAAGUUGACUGCAAAUGGAGUUUCUUCCAGUUGCUUCCUGGGUGUGUGCAGAUGUGCUGCUGAUGAACGUGCAGAGAGGCCUGGAGAAGUCUGGGUGUGCUCACCCAGCACAGGGCCCUCUGUGGCUGGUCUGCAGGGCCAGGUCCAGUUCUUGCUGACUCGUUUUAUCUGUCUGUUGACUUUCUUCUGUGGAUUUUUGGAUACAGCAGUGCACAAGAGCUUGCAGAAAUGGGCUUCUCCAAAUCAUUCUCAAGAAGCUCAACAUCUUUGUUAAACAGUGAACGUUUAAAGUAAUCUUAUUAGCAGUAAUCAAUAGACAGGUCCCACAAGAAACCACAAAUAUGAUUUUAAAAUUGAUAGUUCUUUCUAAAGACCCUUUAGGGACCUAAGAACUGCGAUUAAACUACCUUAUUUAAUCUUCCAAAUAAUCCUAUGAAUUAGGCAUUCUUGUCACCCAUAUUUUGCUUAUAAACUUGAAAAAAGUUUGGUAACUUGCCAGUCAAUGGUGAAGCUGCGAUCAAACCCUGUUUGCACGUCUGUCAGCCCUGGGGCUUGGUAGAUCUGCUGUAUGUGGACCUACGGACCAGGAAGGGCAUGGGGAGCCCAUGCUAUCCAACUUCUUCAUCUGGACAGAUGGACUUCUGGUGGCGCACACAGCUCGCAGAGGCCAUGCCAAGCUGAGAAACCAGAUUUCCUGCUGCCCGAUACAAUGCUCUACCACAGUGCACUACCAAAGGGAGGCUCUUGGAGACAGUUCUGUCCAUUUUCUAUCUAUUCUUAAUAAAAAAAAGGGAUUUUCUGUGGAAUCUGCAACACUUGAGGGUUUGGGUGCAGGGCACCCGUUGAAGAGGCCUUCCGUUGAAGAGGCCUUCCGCUGCCCGGCCUCUGUGGACCUUGGUGGCUUCCCAGCAGGAGGCUGCAGCUGCAGCGACUGCAGGCUGCCACCAGGUCCCCAAGAGCCUGUGCUUCACAUCUGGCUUCCUGAGCACUGGCAAAGGGAUGUGACCACACUCUCCAGUGUCUGACUGCUGAUUCUCACUGCCAAUGGUGUGAGGGUGUGGGAUGCUCUGCCACAGUCUGCAAACUCUCAGUCACGGCACUGCCACGACAGUGACUUCUGGCUUUGAACCUGAAGGCCUCCACCAGACCAGCUCCUCCUGGGCCAGCCUUGCCACCCCACGGAUUGACAGAUACUUGUCUCCAUGCAAGUGUGAAUCCCACAGUAUGCGUCCAUCGCAGCUUCGACAUGGGUCAUUCCUGGGUGUGGGAGAUAUAAAAGAUGCCAGAAGGCGAAGAAAUCGGUUUUUAAAAAGAAACAAGAAAAAAAAUAUUGAUUCCUAGAAGAAAAGACUUGUCAAGGCAAUUUCUUGCAAGAGCAAACCCUUCAUUAGAAAUCAAGUUAGAGCUAAUUUUGAAGGAGCGGAUAGAUGUCUCCUGGCAUUUCCUAUUGUCGCAUCAUAUAUGGCACCUAUAGAUAAGAGUGAUUGUUUUCAGUCCCAUUUGUAUUAAAAGAAAGCUAACCAACUGAAGAAAAUCAAAUGUAAUUAGUUUUACCUAAAUUAUAGGUUUUCAGAGCAAUUAAUAAAACUGAAUGUUGAAAGCUGCUUGUUAAGCAAAUCAAAGAUCAAGGAAUAUAUUUUCUUUAUUAAAUGUCACUCCUAUGUAAACCAACCUACACAAAUCAUUUUGAAAUACAGCACAUGCGAAACUGGAGUAUUUCGCUGCAGUACUACUUAGGCAAUCCACAGACUGUCUCGAUGGCCAACCACAACGUGAAGUCACUACUCCGUGUCCACUUCUGACCGCUGAACAGGUAGGAGGCACAGCGGCCGACUCUGGGCCGCUGGAAUCAGGCCAAGCUGGCUGAGCGUCCACUCAGCUUUUCCCCAUCCCCACGGACAGGAACAAAUGCUUCACCACUCGAGCCUGGCUCUCGCUGUCCAUAAAACUGGUCUUGAUUUGGACCCAUGGAGCAGGAGGAACUCCUGUGACGUCCCAUGUAGGGCAUUUAGUGCACUGCUAUUCCCAGGGCCUAAGCCCAGUAGAUGCUGGGGACCAUCACUCCAUUUAUGCCAUUUGGGUUGGGCUGAUAGGAUCAAGUGGAAAUAACAGGGUUGGUGGACUCAUGCCACCCUGGGCCUGGGCAGUUGGUGCCCUGUGCUCAUGCGGUUCCCCCAAAGGUCGGAUGGCUGCUGUGGCAUAAAUGUAGCUUCAGGAUUAUUUGGGUCCCUUCUUAGAGAACAAUUACAGUCACACUACAUUUUUGAGAGCUUGUAUGUCUUUCUGCUACACUGUGAAUAUGAAUCUGUGCACAUAGCCUUGGGAGCAGGAAGGAAGCAACCCUAAGCCCCUUGUCUGGCUCGAGUCAUGGUUUUGUCUAUAAAAUGGUGGCAGAAGGCUUGACCUUUAGUAAUGAGAAACUCUGUAGAGAAGGGUCCUUGGAGUAGAGGCUCUCUACCCAGUACGUCUCGCUGGGGCCCUCAAAGAACUUCACAGAAAUAUUUCUACCACCAAGAAUUCAUGUGAUUUGAAUUUCCACCAUGGCUUUCCGGAAUGUUCUCUUUGCAUCACCGUAAGACCAGGGGAUACAUAAAAAUGCUAAGGCAACAUCCUUAGCAACAUCCACAAUUCCUUUCCCUUGUGCAUUUAUUUUCCUCAACCAUUGGGAGCAUCUAACUAUAUUCUACCAAAGUUCCAUCAUUGCAAGGAAAACAGUGUGACUAUGCCCCAUGAGCAGAGAAAAGCCUGAGACACACAGCCUUCUCCAUCGGAAGCAUGGGUCAAGACGAAAACGUCCCACUUUCUCCACAAUGUGAGUUUCCGUAGCAAUUACUAUAAAGACCACUUGAGCAUCUCUUUCAUAAUAACUGUAUAGACCCCCAGGACUGUUUCCCACUGUAUUUUUAUAGGCAGCAAAGACUCCA